rnacentral:misc_RNA from 1 species
GUGGGGAUGUAUAAAUAUUUUAGUAUAUUUUACCAUUGAAGUAUAAUAUAUUUGUAAACAGCGUGAUUGUAUUAAUGAACUAUCUCCUUAUUCUACCUCCUUUCCCUCUAUGUCUUGACUUUCGUCAGAUCAUAGCCAAUGGCAUGAUAUAUCGAUCAGGCAGAAGCUUUGAGCUUCGAAACUCACAAACCAUGGUGCUUCUUUGUGCUUGACCCCAUCUACUUUGCUCGGUCGAGGCGCUUAUGAAGGUGUGAUUAAUUGAUUCUGCGACCAUCCAUGGUGGUCAAUGACUGAUAAUGGUCCCAAUCUUUAAUUUUAGACAUGUUUUGUUUGGUGAUUGUUUUCUUCUUUUAGUUGCAAAAGGCUUCCUGCACAUGGGAAAACAAAUGGGUCUGUCCACCUGCAUCAAUGCUUCACAGACUUACUGCUUCCCAAUUCAUUAUGUAGUCAAAAGUAGAACUUUGGAAUCCAAAAAACGUAUGCGUGAAAGUAAGGUUGUGCUUCCACCUUUUAUCAUUUCCCUAAUGUAUCUACUUUUCCAAGGUCGGCUGC